CUCCCGCAGCUUCCCGGCGGUGGGCGUAGCUCUCAGCCAGAACAAGUAGCUCCCGCCCUCGCCGCGGGUCUGCUUCUGGGGAGGCAUCGCACAGGUUGGGGGGAGGUUUGGCUCCGCCUCUCAUCUGGGCCUUCCCCAGACACACCCAAAUGGAAGGGGACGUCGGUCAGUGAAUCAGCCGGCCCAAGGAGAGGUUUGGAGUUACAGGCAAGGAGAACCGAUGGACCCGAGAAAGGUGGGCUCCAUGGCACCUGGCCAUCGGGACUACACCCAAACUCUCGGGGAGGAAGCGAAAUGAACCCUUCUGUACACGCUCGGGCCGCUGGAGGUUUGGGGACCCUGGUAAGGUGCGCCGGCCCCACAGGCUGCACUUUUCCGACCCUUGGCAUCGGAGAAGGAGCCUUCGGACCUGGACAGUCCAGACGCACCCAUCCUGGCCUGACAGCUGCAGAGCAAGAAGCACCUGAUGACGGGACUCAGGCAAAUUUCACCUGAGCAUCCUGAUUGCACCAGCUCAGGCUCCCAGCCAACCAAAGCAGUGCCACCUGUUGAUUGAGGAAUGGUCUUAAAGUAAAUACAGAAGAAAACUAAAGGAUUGAGCAUUUGCAAGACAAAGAAUUAAUUUCAUGAAAAUUGAUUUCCUAAU